rnacentral:rRNA from 1 species
CGUGUAGGCGGGAAUAUAAGUCAGAUGUGAAAUACCGAGGCUUAACCUCGGGGCUGCAUCUGAAACUAUGUUUCUUGAGUGUCGGAGAGGAAAGUGGAAUUCCCAGUGUAGCGGUGAAAUGCGUAGAUAUUGGGAGGAACACCAGUGGCGAAGGCGACUUUCUGGACGAUAACUGACGCUGAGGCGCGAAAGCGUGGGGAGCAAACAGGAUUAGAUACCCUGGUAGUCCACGCUGUAAACGAUGGAUACUAGGUGUAGGAGGUAUCGACCCCUUCUGUGCCGCAGUUAACACAAUAAGUAUCCCACCUGGGGAGUACGGCCGCAAGGUUGAA